rnacentral:rRNA from 1 species
UACGUAGGGUGCGAGCGUUAAUCGGAAUUACUGGGCGUAAAGCGUGCGCAGGCGGUUCUGAAAGUCAGCUGUAAAAGCCCCGGGCUUAACCUGGGAACGGCGGUUGAAACUACAGGACUAGAAUCUGGCAGAGGGGGGUGGAAUUCCACGUGUAGCAGUGAAAUGCGUAGAGAUGUGGAGGAACACCGAUGGCGAAGGCAGCCCCCUGGGCUGAGAUUGACGCUCAGGCACGAAAGCGUGGGGAGCAAACAGG